GCUAUCAAAUUUGCUAGGAAGUUUCAGAGGGUUAUACACCCUGAUGAGAAACACCCAGCAACUGGGUUCAUUGCUUUUACAAAUAGCUUCCAUGGAAGGACUAUGGGGGCUGUUGCUUUGACAAGCAAAAAGCAUUACCGCUUCCCUUUUGAGCCAGUCAUGCCUGGAGUUACUUUUCUGGAAUAUGGCAACAUGCAAGCUGCUAGGGAAUUGAUUAAAUGUGGGAAAAUUGCUGCCGUAUUCGUAGAACCUAUCCAGGGUGAAGGUGGCAUUUAUAGUGCAACAAAGGAAUUUUUGCAAUCCUUACGUAGUGCUUGUGAUGAAGCUGGGUGUCUCCUGGUUUUUGAUGAGGUUCAAUGUGGCUUGGGCCGAACUGGUUAUCUUUGGGCAUAUGAAGCCUAUGGUGUAGUCCCGGAUAUAAUGACCAUUGCUAAGCCUCUUGCAGGAGGCCUUCCCAUAGGAGCUGCAUUAAUGAGUGAAAGAGUUGCUGCUGCCAUUAAGUUUGGAGAACAUGGAAGCACUUUUGCUGGUGGACCUCUUGUCUGUACUGCUGCCAUCACUGUUUUGGAUAAAAUAUCAAGACCUGGUUUCUUGACCAGCGUCUCUAAGAAAGGUCAGUACUUCAAAGAAAUGCUAAUACAGAAGCUGGGAGGAAAUUCACAUGUGAGAGAAGUCCGAGGUUUGGGGCUUAUAAUAGGGAUAGAGCUGGAUGUGUCUGCUUCACCUCUUGUAGAUGCCUGCCGAAACUCUGGUCUAUUAAUAUUAACAGCAGGAGAAGGAAAUGUGGUUAGGCUGGUCCCUCCAUUGAUCAUCUCAGAACAAGAAUUGGAGCGUGCAGCUGAUAUUUUGUUUGAAUGUUUACCAGUACUUGAUAAGACAUUGAAGUGAGUAGAAGUCAUAGAAGCUAACGGGUGACGCCUGUUAAAAUUCUCUUAAUAUUGGACCUGUGUCUUGAAUAUUUAUUGUUAUGCAAUCAACCCUUAUUUG
rnacentral:misc_RNA from 1 species